UACGGAGGAUGCAAGCGUUAUCCGGAAUGAUUGGGCGUAAAGCGUCCGCAGGUGGCUGUGUAAGUCUGCUGUCAAAGAGCGAAGCUCAACUUCAUAAAGGCAGUGGAAACUACACGGCUAGAGUGCGUUCGGGGCAGAGGGAAUUCCUGGUGUAGCGGUGAAAUGCGUAGAGAUCAGGAAGAACACCGGUGGCGAAGGCGGCGCGCUGGAUCCCUACUGACGCUGAGGCACGAAAGCCAGGGGAGCAAACGGG
rnacentral:rRNA from 1 species